rnacentral:rRNA from 1 species
CGACGCUGGCGGCGUGCCUAACACAUGCAAGUCAACUUGACUGAAGGAGCAAUCUGACAGUAGAGUGGGCGCAAGGUGCGUAACGCUAAGUAACUUGCCCAAGGUAAGGAAUAACGUCGAGAAAUCGGCGCUAAUACCUCAUAAUGCAGCGGAUCCGCAUGGAUAUGUUGUUAAAGGUUUACCGCCUUGGGAUAGGCUUGCGUCUGAUUAGCUAGUUGGUGUGGUAACGGCACACCAAGGCUACGAUCAGUAACUGGUCUGAGAGGAUGAUCAGUCACACUGGAACUGAGACACGGUCCAGACUCCUACGGGAGGCAGCAGUGAGGAAUAUUGGGCAAUGCUCGAAAGAGUGACCCAGCAACGCCGCGUGGAGGAUGAAGGUAUUCUAUAUCGUAAACUCCUGUGAGAGCAGACGAAAGACAGAUUAUUAAUCUGGAUGACUGUAUGCUCAGAGGAAGCCCCGGCUAACUACGUG